GGGCGUAAAGCGUGCGCAGGCGGUUAUACAAGACAGGCGUGAAAUCCCCGGGCUUAACCUGGGAAUGGCGUCUGUGACUGUAUAGCUAGAGUGUGUCAGAGGGGGGUGGAAUUCCACGUGUAGCAGUGAAAUGCGUAGAUAUGUGGAGGAACACCAAUGGCGAAGGCAGCCCCCUGGGAUAACACUGACGCUCAUGCACGAAAGCGUGGGGAGCAAACAGAAUUAGAUACCCUGGUAGUCCACGCCCUAAACGAUGCUGACUAGUUGUUGGGAAUUUACAUUCUCAGUAACGUAGCUAACGCGUGAAGUCAGCCGCCUGGGGAGUACGGUCGCAAGAUUAAAACUCAAAGGAAUUGACGGGGACCCCCACAAGCGGUGGAUGAUGUGGAUUAAUUCGAUGGAACGCGAAAAACCUUACCUACCCUUGACAUGUCACUAACGAAGUAGAUAUACAUUAGGUGCCCGUAAGGGAAAGUGAACACAGGUGCUGCAUGGCUGUCGUCAGCUCGUGUCGUGAGAUGUUGGGUUAAGUCCCGCAACGAGCGCAACCCUUGUCUUUAGUUCCUACGCAAGAGCACUCUUAGGAGACUGCCGGUGACAAACCGGAGGAAGGUGGCGAUGACGUCAAGUCCUCAUGGCCCUUAUGGGUAGGGCUUCACACGUCAUACAAUGGUGCGUACAGAGGGUUGCCAACCCGCGAGGGGGAGCUAAUCUCUUAAAACGCAUCGUAGUCCGGAUCGUAGUCUGCAACUCGACUACGUGAGGCUGGAAUCGCUAGUAAUCGCGGAUCAGCAUGUCGCGGUGAAUACGUUCCCGGGUCUUGUACACACCGCCCGUCACACCAUGGGAGUGGGUUUUGCCAGAAGCAGUUAGCCUAACCGUAAGGAGGGCGAUUGCCACGGCAGGGUUCAUGACUGGGGUGACGUCGUAACA
rnacentral:rRNA from 1 species